UGUGAUUGACCUUGAACCGUCGGGCCGCGCUCGCUGUACUGCGUAGGCGCCAAUGCGCUGACGUUCUUUAGUCACGUGGCUCCCCUUGCGGCUUGCCUGAUGGGGAAUCCGCCGCCAUUUUGGGCGUCGAGCGACUCCCGACUCUUUCUUGUCCCGCCCCUCCCCUCCCCUCCCUCCCGGAGGAAUUACCUCCAGCCCGCGGGCCUUCCACACGUUGCGCAUGCGCAGUCGGGGAGGGAAAGGUGGGGUGGGUAAACCCUUGCCUGCUCGGUGGGGCACCGGCCUUGGGGAGAGCCGGGAUCAGCCCUGGUGGUCUUGACUGUCUUUCUUUCUGGCAACGCAGAUUGUGACGCUUGUGCAGUGCGAGUCUGCCCAGUGCUGCCCUGCACUGGGAUUUGCCUUCAGGGCUGCCCUGGCCUGUGAAGGAUUCUCUCUCUGUCUGUGACCAUCAGAGCAGCAGGCUCCUGUGCCUGAAACAAGCCUACCGUCCCUAGGGAUGUGCUUCUGCAUGGCGAGAUGUUUCUGAUAGUACAAAGUGGUGAAAAGAUCUUGAAAAUCCAUCUUCUGCUGCUCCUACUGUGAAGAGGGAGAGGCGCACUUGUCCUCAGAGAGCCACGGGACUUGGAACCGAGUGGUGGCUUUUGUGACAUUUUCUACUGACUAUUUUAAAAUAUUUAGCUCAUAGCAAUUGAAACAUGUCAAGUGCCUGUACCUGCAGCAUUUCAGUCAUUAAUGUAUCACGUAGAUGACUGGAGAGUCCAUGUUUUUUUCAUGUAGACUGUGUGAGUUGCACAUUCUGAUAUCUGUUUCAUGACUUGAAAAUGUUAUGUAUAUAGAUGCAGGGCUAAAUCAUGAUUUUUUUGCUACAGAAGGGCAGAUCCUAAGAAGCAUCACUGAAGUCAGCAGAGUCAGUUCAGGUUACACUGCUGUGAAUAAGAGCAGAAUCUGAACAAUAGGGUGCAAAUGUCUACUUAAGCUCCCUCAGCACAUUUUUUAAAAAGCAUGUAGCUCAGCAUUGUGGAGUAGUUUGACUAAAAGUGCAAAUGAUUCUGGAAUAGAGAAAUGAUGAGACCAAAUUACUGUAGGGAGAUUUUGAUGCUGUAUAGCUUUUUAUCUUGCUGGCUGGUUUUUAGAAUUAAAUUUAGAAAAAAAAAUCUUUCUUCUCCGCGUUUUGCACAAAGUCAGUUUUCAUUUAAGUGAAUUCAUCUUCAGUGAACUUGGCCCCUAAAAAGUGUAAUGUGCUUUGCGAGCACAGGUGUUGGGUUCUCUUUUUUACCAACUUUUUAUUGGAAUCUAACUAUUGCUCAUGUGAUCUUUACGAGAAGCCAUGUAAAAAGAGAGUGUAAAUUUUUAAGACUCAUCACUUCUUCAGUACACCAAGAGGCCCCUGUGCCAAGGAGAGAGACAGAAGACAACAGGGAGAAUAGAGAGACUGGGGAGUGCAAGUUAAGGACAGCUGCAAGAUUUGAACUGUGCAUUGUGGAGAAGGAACCAGAAUUUCCUGGGAAGACACGUUCAGUUCCAGAGAGGGAACAAAGCAAUGCUGCUGUCCACUGAAGAAAGUGUCUGUGCAAGGAGCUGUAGAAGCAAAGAGAAGAAAAAAAAUAAGCAAGUAACAGACAUCAGCCAUUUUCAACCAUGCCCUGGUUCCAAACACAGCCAGUCAAGAGCAAACUUACGAGCAGAGUAAACAGAAAAGAAGGCUUAGCAUCUCUAACAAGCUGCUCCAUCAGGACCACAAAAGAAGCAGAAGGAAAUAGUGGCUUGGACUACCCUGCAUGUCUCAAAGCAAAAGAGGUAGGAUGAAGCCAGAGUUGCAUGAUAAUGGAUGUGCCCAGAUAGGAUGGCUUCUGAAUGCUAUAUGAGAUCAACUUUAAAAUGAAGAAAAUGUUUCAGACACCAGUGACCAGAACCCUCUUGAUUUGGGAAGGGGUCACCAAAUCAGAUAUGCAGGAUCAGAAAACUGAAAAGGGGAAAGAAAACACAGAACACAUGGAGCAUUUGCCAUCUCUUUAGCACAGCUGCAAAUUCAGGCACCUCUGCAGUUGUCUGUAGAUCAAACAGCUUGUUGAUGGCACCCAUUAACACCUUCCCACAUAACAAUACACCACCAAUAUGGAAACACUGAUUAUUCAACAUCAGCUGCUGUGGACAGGGCACUGUGUGAAUGCCUGAUGUAGUCUCCAGAACAACUUCCAACUCAGCCAAAGACAAAGGACACGCAGGGGCCAGAGGAAAUGCUUCAAGGACACCCUCAAGGUGAACUUUAAGAAGUGUUGCACUGACACCAGAAAUUGGGAAAAACUAGCCUGGGACAGGGCUACAUGGUGACAAGUUGUGAGGGAAGGUACAUCUAACUUUGAGGAAAACUGUCUCACCCUGGAGGCAAGAAAACAACAGAAAUGUAAGGAAAGGAAACAUGACUGAGAAAUCUGUGGUCUGACCCUCCCUUUAGCCACCACCUGAAAUGUUUUGCCAGAGAGUCUGUGGCUCUAGGAUUGGCUUUCUUAGCUAUCAGCAGACUCAUUUACAGCAGUUUACCUGACCUGUAGGAGUGAUCAUCCUUGACCAUGAGGGAUCAAUGCUGCUGCCGUGAUCGUGAGGGGCCACUGCUGCCACUGCUGAUCCCUGUCUCAUCUCAGUCUUUUCUCCUGAUAAGUGUGUGGACUCCCUUCAUUACUUAUCUCUAAGACAAAUAAUAAUGGAGAAAAAUGAAGAGUGGCAUGCAGCCUCUAGCAUGGUAGGACCAAGGUAUAGGGGGAAGGGCAAGGCAUGACACACAGAGCUCCCAAUAGGAAGAUUGACCUGGUAAGGGAAGUGUGCAGAGACAGGAGCCCCUAGUUCAUGAAGUGAGCUUGGCCUAUGGAAACUGCGAAGUAUGGGAGUUUAUACACAUUCUCCGGGGGGGGCGGCUUUAAUUGGAGCAGCUUCGAGAGCUGCUGUAAUUAAGUGCUUGAAGCAUCUCAUGUGUCAGCAUCCCUAUGCUUAAAGAUGGUGGCAGGGGUGCUUUAACUAAAGCUCAUCAAGCAAGCUUUAGAUAAAGUGCCCCUUGCAGCCAUUUUUAAGCAUGGGGAUGCUGAUACACAAGACACUGGAAGCUGCUGAAGAACGGUAAUUGCCAUGCUCCAGCAGACUUUAAUCAAGUCUGCUCCAACACACUGUAAUCACAGCACCUCAGAGCAGCCUCGCUGUUCGUGUAUAGACACUCUGUGCGACUUGCUUGUGACAGAAAUCAAUGACCUGUAGUGGGUAGUGGGCUGUCCUAGUAAAUGGGAACUCUAGGGGCUAUGUUAGUUAACUCCAAUUAACCGUUCAUCCUGGAAAAGCUGCUGGGGGGGGGGGGGGGA